CGCGCUAAUGAGAGCCGGCUGCGCUCGGCCCGCGCUCCUCUGCCCCCGGAGACCGGCAUCCCCCGGCCGCAGAGCCUCCCAAGGCGAUCUGGAGACCUCCCGCUCCCUGUGCUCUGGUGCGGGCGCUCGCCCCGGAGGCAUCCCUCUGCUGACCCCAGCUCCGUACUCACUCGCUGAGCCUCUGUGCGACUCCCCUGCCUCCCCGGCCCUUCUGUCUUCCCGGGUGUUCCCCGACCUGGGCCACAAGCCCAGCUUCACUCUCAGCGGCCUGGGCGUUCCGGGGUCCCUGAACCCGAACCUCCACCAGCGAGGGCCUCCCUAAGCAUAGCACACUCCUGUCAGGCUCCCAGCUCUCCCCUGCCCUGCAGUCCUAGUCUAGCUCUGUUCCCUCUCCCUCCCCUGCCCCCCCUCCGUAGCCACUGUCUUCCCUAGGCCACUCUUAGAGUCCCAGUGGUCUGGCACCGCCCGCCCCUGCUAGGGGCGGUUUGCACGGAGCAUCCUACAAAUCCGACUUAGCUGAAAACCCAGCUCCCUGGUGCUGGCCAAACGGUUUCUGAGCCCUUCUUGUUUGAGCAUGCCCCGACCCUCUCACCUGGCUGGUGUGGUUGAAUCUCUCUAGGUCCCCAGCCCCUCUGAGCUCUGGUCCCAGGCCUCAGCCAGUUCCUGGCUCUGACACCGAUUCCCCUCUCCACCUCACGCUCCUGCGGAGCUCUCGGCCCUUGCUCCAGCACCUGGCCAGGCCUUCCCUCCUUUGCGCUUUCUCUGCACACAGGUGAGCCCCUGGAUUGCUCUGGGGACUGGAUGUCUUCUUGGGUCCUUACUGGCCUUGAAGUCCGAGGGGCAAGGCUAUUUGUGCCCUGCUUCUUCCUGGAGCCUUGUACUCAGGGGAAUGUGUGUCCCAGCUGGCCCUCCAUGCUGGAGGAACAUGUGUGAGGCCUGUGUCUUCCCCCACUCCUCCUGUUCUCCACGCUGGGGCCCUGCUCAAGAGGAGGAGGAGGGAGAGAGAGAGAGAAAGAAAGGACACCUAAGCUCUCUGCGGCUCAGUUUCCCCAUCUUUAUAAGAACAGAAACAACGCCACGGAGUGUUUUCAGAGUUGAAAGGAGAGCACACAUGUUGAACACCUGGCACAACGCACGCACAUGCCAACAAACAGCCCGCCCUGCGACUGUGGGCUUCAGGCGGGGUCUGAGCUGUGAAGGGUGUGGCGACAGGUCCCUUUCCCAGGUGUAAACCUCUCUGAUUCUCUUCGGAGCUCUGGAAAGUAACAAGCGGGGAGAUAAGGAACCCGGGAGGGGAAGCAUUCCUUCCCACCGGCCUCCUGCAGAGGGACCUCCCAGCCUAAUGGUUCCAUCCUGUCUCUGCAGAUGUGUGGCUGGCCAGUGGCCUGUGUUGGGACAGUGACGCUUCCCAGGCAGUCUGGAUCCCACGCAGUUCUGCCCUGGCCUCUGUGUGACCUGGACGCCUUUCCUUCUGGAACGGGAGGAGCCUGGAUGGAUGAGGCGGAAGCUGGAAAUGCGACACCAUCACCUUGAGACCGUGGGCGGCAGGGGGCAGUGCUCCCUCCCCCCAGUUACAGAGAAAGGCGGACUGAUGGACAGGCACAGCCCUACCAUGCUCAGGUCAUGGAAUCUCUCUCAUCACUUUAGAAAAGCCUGCCCCAUCUCCAGAGGGCACAGCUGAUGGCUGUAUGGUCCCCGCUCCUGGUGACUUUAACCCAGAGAUGCCUAGAGCCCCUUCAGAGCCGCCCAGGGGAGAGAGUGUGGUUCUGUGGCUUUGCAGAAUGACUGUAGGGAAUCAUAGUUCCCCCCUGUCAGCAACUACCCUGCAUCCUUCAUGGGCAGCAUUGAGGUGGGAACAGUUCAGUGAGCCGUGUUUCACAAGGUGAACCCAGAAUCCCAAACCCAGGCUCCAUUUCCUGAAGGCAGAACCCCAGAUAUGGGUAGUGACUUGCCCAGGGCAGCUCAGCCAAUGCCUGGCAAAGCUGGGAUCCAGGCUUCUGAAUCAGUUACAUCCCGAGUUCAGGCCUUUAGAGGGUAGUGGCUGUGUGCCACGUAAUUCAUGCCUCCCUCUGGAAGCUCUACUCUACAUGGGCUCUUUCUAGGCGUCCUUAGGCUGCUGGCAUAGCCUAGGGAAAAUGAAUAUGGGCUCUGUGGCUCCCUGAAGCCCAGCGAGGAGGAAGAAGAACUUGGUUGAUCCAGGAGCCACUGAGGGAACAAGGACCUCGUGGCUACAGCAGCUUCUACAACAGUGCCUGGGUGGAAAACUAAUAGGUUCCCCUCUGGAGCUCUCUGGAUGGUCUGUGAGGUGGCUGUCACCUAUAUCGGAGCCUGUGUGUGUGUGUGUGUGUGUGUGUGUGUGUGUGUGUGUAUGCUCGCGCUCGCGUGCGUGUGUUUGCUAGCAGGGAAGGGAGGGGGUGGUCUUGCCUAUGAUCACAUGCCAAAAUAAGGAUAUGUGAGACCCAGGCCAAUCAGCUUGGCUGUUGACUAGCAGGUGCUUCCCGCCUGGGGGUGACAGACUUGUCCCUCUAAGACUGUGGACUCAGCAGCUGCCCCAGGGAGUCCCAUCUAGUCCCUCCAGGAAGUGGUCCGCUCUGCUCUGAAGACCCCAGGAAGCCUGGCCGAGCUCAGAAGUGAAGUGCCCUUAAUUUUCUUAACUGCCUCAGGGACAGUCACCUUAGCAGGGGUACCACCUCAGUCCUAAAAGUUCCACCUGGACCAGCUCAGAGCAGACAUCUUCUCCCCUGGACCAAGAGGAGGGUAGGACAGGAAGUUCAAAGGAAUUUUUCUCAAAAACUUGGGAGUGAAGGGGCCUGCAAAUGACUCGAGAAGCUGACCUGCCAAGGGCUUGGAACAGGGCCGCUGGCUGGAAACGCCAGACACAUGCUGACCUCUGUCGGUCUUCUCCAAAACAGGUGUGUCCCUCAGGUCCUCCCCCUCCUCCUCCUGAGUGCUCCCAGCUGGCAGGUCCCAGCAGGAACCUCCGAAACAAAACCAAGAGAAAAUUGGCGAUUGGAGGAGGAGGGGUCUGUUUAUGUCUCUGGUCCUGGACCCUUAGGUUGGAAAAUGGGCAUUUGUACACAGGCUAAGCUGUAGAGAGGGGCGGGGCGGCGGGUCGUCCACCCACCCUGGCCUGGUAGCUGUCUGUGUGCUGUGAACCUCCAUGGUGCCACGCGUAGCUGUUUCCGGGACUGUUUUGCACAGGGGCUGGAAAAAGCAAGGCAGACCUGCUGUCUCUCCGACUCUACAGCAGGACCCUUUAGCAGUCGGUUACUGGGGAGGCUGCAGGCUUGUUGCUCUGCCCUCCCUAGGCUGUGGCACUUGCCUUUGUGUUGAAGAUCUUUGCUGUCCCUUGUCCCCAGGCGCCUAAAUCCAGCAGAGGAGUUGGGGACCCCAGAGGACAGCCAGGAUUUUGUGGGGAGCUGGGAAAUGAAUUCUGAAAGACAACUAGGAGUCAGCCACAGAUACUUCGGGCGUGUGGCAGCUGCUUUUGGUGACAGUGAGCCCACAAUGAGGCAGUGGGCUCCGUGUCUCAUGGGGAGGGGGCUCUGGACCCUCAGCAGGGCAGGAGGCGCCCAGCCUGGAGGGAGUGGAGAAGGUGUGGGGUGCCCCCUGGCGGCCAGGCUUCAGCCCUGCCUGAGUGUGCCAGCUGCCCUCGUUGGUGCCCACGUGUUCUUGCUGAUCUGCCAGGAACACCCGCCUUCAGGCCUCAUGUGUGAACUCCCUGCAAACACCCUGCUCCCCUGGAGAGGUCAGAGCAGAUGUCCAUCCGGGUGUCUGCCACGCGCAGCUUACGGCCGGCUUUGGUAGUGCUCUCAGAGGCCAGAGUGGGCUGCGCCGCUCGCCUCCCUGUGGUUCCCUCGGGAAACUUGAGGUUAAGAAAUGCAAAAUCACCCGGUAACGACAGCUGCACCCCACCGCACUGAAUGGGUCCGUUCACCCAUUCUUCCCUGUCGGCUUGCAUGGACACGGCCCUCGCUUGGGCAUCCUGAAGAGACCCCUCUAUCAGACAGGUCUGUUGAAGGUUGUGGUGACAGCCACCAGCACAGGGGACAGAAGCCCACUCACAAGUCCCCCUCAUCCCUGCACAGCAGGUUGCCAGUUGAACCUUUGCGUCCGCAGCCGCCACUCAUUUCACAGGGCAGGGCUGCAGGCCACAGUGAGACCCUCAUGGGGGUCACCCUCCUGACGUCAAGGCCCUGAGUCGCGAGAUGGUACCCAGGCGCCUCCAGUGUGAGAUGAGGUGGAAGGAGAGGAUGCCGCUCUGCCCAGCUCUGAGCCCAUUCCUGCAGUUGAAGCGGGUGCAGACACAAUCUGGACCUCAAGUCCGUGUGAGUCCAGAGCCCUCUCCACACUGAGCUGGUUGACAGCUACGGCCUGGAGUGUUAAACUUACCCAAGGCCAUCAGCAGGAAGGCAAAAGCAGUCUCAAACCCUGCCUGCAGAAAUGCCGUCAGCACACCAUUUGUCCAGGGCCAGAUCAAUGAACUCGCCUCCACCAUACUCCCAGGAAGUUCAGACCCCUGAUUUAAAAACUCUAGAGGAGAGGAAAGAAUGUUCCCGGAGGCCUGAGGUCCUAGAAGGAUCUCCCCAGAGCUCAGCGGUGCGGAAUCCGCUGCUGGCUGGUCCAAAACGCCCCUGCCUACAUGUUUACUUGUUAUGGGCUGCGGUCCAAAUUCCUGGUUUGGAAGAAUCACCCAUGAUGCCCCAGGAGGCUUUUCAAACAUCUUCACCGAUUCAUCUUCUCUUGCCAGGAGAUGCUGGAGGGCCAAAGAUGAAGAUGAACAAAGUCACCGAAAGUUCCACAGUCAUUUGGAUGGUCGGUUAUAAAUAAGGGCCGCGUAAACGCCUUUGUCCUGGGCAGCUUUUCCCUGUCCUCUCGGGAUUAAUGUCUAAGAAGCAAGAACUACCCUGCUUCUGCCAAAUCUGAUUUUCCUCUCGCCCCCGACUGGGUUUGUGGGCAGCAGUUCACAACCAGGUCCGCAGCCCUGGUUCAUGACCGGGUUCAGGUGCCGCACACACCGCAAGGAGGUGACCUCAGGGUCUGCAGGGGCUUUGCAGGGUGUCAAAGCUGCAGGCCCCACACAGGCUCCCAGUGGCACCCUCGCAGCCCCCCGGGUUACCUACUUGGAGUAGGCCCUGCCUCACCCUUUUUGCUGAAGCUGAGGGGAACCAGGGCCUUUUCUAGUUCCUGCCAUGGUCUGACUUCCUCCUGCCUUCAUGAAUGGCCCUCUAUCCUACUCAUCGCCGAUGGAGACCUUCCAGCUUCCACAGGGACCAAAACAAAGCCUUAGAGGCUGGUGAUGAGACCAGAGGGUACAAGACUUGCCUAGCUUACAUUGAACUCUAGAUCUGAAAUCUCAGUCUCUCUCUCUCUCUCUCUCUCUCUCUCUCUCUCUCUCUCACACACACACACACACACACACACACACAGAAUCUUCUUCCACUUAAAACUCAGCUUCAUCCGAGAAUCUGAGACAUCAGCAUGUAAGAGCAUUGGUUGCUUGUGCAGAAGACCCAGGCCCACGUUUGGUUCCCACAUUUGGUGGCUCAGAACGGUAUGUAAGGCUAGUUCCAAGGGAUCUGACACCCUCUUCUGACUUUUUUUAAAAAAAGAUUUAUUUAUUUAUUAUAUAUACAAUAU